rnacentral:rRNA from 1 species
GAUGAACGCUGGCGGCGUGCCUAAUACAUGCAAGUCGAGCGAAGAGAUGAGGAGCUUGCUCCUCUGACGUUAGCGGCGGACGGGUGAGUAACACGUGGAUAACCUACCUAUAAGACUGGGAUAACUUCGGGAAACCGGAGCUAAUACCGGAUAAUAUAUUGAACCGCAUGGUUCAAUAGUGAAAGACGGUUUUGCUGUCACUUAUAGAUGGAUCCGCGCCGCAUUAGCUAGUUGGUAAGGUAACGGCUUACCAAGGCAACGAUGCGUAGCCGACCUGAGAGGGUGAUCGGCCACACUGGAACUGAGACACGGUCCAGACUCCUACGGGAGGCAGCAGUCGGGAAUCUUCCGCAAUGGGCGAAAGCCUGACGGAGCAACGCCGCGUGAGUGACGAAGGUCUUCGGAUCGUAAAACUCUGUUAUUAGGGAAGAACAAAUGUGUAAGUAAAUAUGCACGUCUUGACGGUACCUAAUCAGAAAGCAACGGCUAAGUACGUG